GCCACGCCUGACGGCUUUACUGUUCAUGGUAGAGCAGUGAUCAGCGGCAAGAGAGAUGGGGGAAAUAAUAGGGUGAGACUGAGUUUUUUUUCUAGCUAUUCCUUUUCUGCUUCUCAACUGCGUCCAUCUUUUCCUGAGACCUCUAACCAGAUCUCACAACCCCAUCUCUUCUGUCUCUCUCGUUUGGGUAGCAAGUUGCCCUGUUAUUGGCCUUUAUUAAGUUUCUCCUGGAUUUUUUCUUCUGUUUCUCUACAUGUUACGCCAACGAAGGUUUACAAGUAGGUACAAAUCUUCAGAGACUAUAAACACCAGGUCUGGAGGGUUGAAACAGAUUCCAAGCACAUCUUCUUGGGAUGCAAAGAACGAAUUUAAGCUGGUAUUUCUUAAUUAAUUGAACACCAGGUCAGGAGAGUUGAAACAGAUUCCAAGCACUGAGUCAUGGUGGAGCUGAUGUGUUCUUUCUAUACGUAUUCCCUGGGAGAUGAUCACUUAAUCUGUAAAAUUUCAUAGUUCCCGCUGGGAGAGUUCAUGCAGAUUUGCUUCCUCAUGUAUAAUUAUAAGUUGUCUAUUCACAAACGUUCAGUUCAGCUGCUGCAGAUGAUGCUUGGUUAUUGAGGUACUGCCAGUACAUAUGUUAACUCUAAACUGGACCAUUGAUUCAGCAACACUACUUUUUGUUUGACUGUAUCUUCAGCAAGGGUACUCUUAUUUCAUGAUUCUAUACUGAACCACUGGUUUUUGCUCGAGCUGUACUAUAGACUCUUAAUUGUGAUUUUUUUGAAGCAAAUUUCAUAUCUGCCACUUACGAGAAAUUUAGAUAAUCGUAGGCUUUUCAGAAGCUUUUGACCUUAGAACGAAGGCUCUUAAGAAGCUGCACUACAUGAAUAUGUGGAUAUCACAUGUAUGUUUUUCUUUCUUUAAAUUUCUGAUGCUUAUGAAUCAUCCGAUGUAAGUAGUUAGCAAGUAUGGAAGAUAAUGUAUGUUUUGAUCUGUCGAGAGAUGCUUUUUCGCUCCUAUUUCAUUUUGGCUUCGCCUCCAAAAUAUUUCAUUGGUUCUUGCACAUCUUGGCUACUUGAUUUCUGUAACUUUUGCAGUUUCAUUUCAUAUUUUCAUGUAAAAUGUGUGCUACAUUAAGUUUAUCUCAUAUCUAUGAGAAUACUGUGUAAUUAUAUGUAAUGAUACAACAUAUCUUUAUGUAAUUGAAUUUCUUUGUUUCAUUUAUCUUAAACUGUCUAUGAGAAUACUAUCAGUUGUCACAACUGCCUAAUACAUUAGCAUAAGAAUAUCCUUUUUUGAUUACUGAAUGAUAUACUUUAUGUAAUUGAAUUUCUAUGUUUCAUUUCUCUUAUAUUUAUGAGAUUCC
rnacentral:lncRNA from 1 species